GUGGUUAGACAGCUGCUAUAGUAAGGAACAGACUCAGGCCCACUGAACAUGGCAGAGCAGAGCAAGAAGCAGAAGUCUGAACUCCAAACAGCUUGAGGGGGACUGCAGCUACACUGGACAGAGCAGAGAGACCGAGUCCCUGAGCCAGCAACCACUGCCUACCCACGAGGCAACUCCUAUGGAUCAGUGAAUCCCUCAGGUCUGAGAUUGAGGCCUGAGUAUCCUGACUUGGUAAAUCCUAUGAUGGGGUUUUGUGAGCUUUCCAAUUUCACUGAAAGGACUUUUGGGUUUUUUGUUUGCUAGUUUGUUUGUUUGUUUUUGCAAGAAUUUGUGUUCUCUAAAACUUCCAAAA
rnacentral:lncRNA from 1 species